UACGUAGGGAGCGAGCGUUGUCCGGAUUCAUUGGGCGUAAAGAGCUCGUAGGCGGCUUGGUAAGUCGGAUGUGAAACCUCCAGGCUCAACCUGGAGUCGCCAUCCGAUACUGCCAUGGCUAGAGUCCGGUAGGGGCCCACGGAAUUCCUGGUGUAGCGGUGAAAUGCGCAGAUAUCAGGAGGAACACCGGUGGCGAAGGCGGUGGUCUGGGCCGGUACUGACGCUGAGGAGCGAAAGCGUGGGGAGCGAACAGG
rnacentral:rRNA from 1 species